UGGCCUCAGGUCUCUGGGAUGGU
rnacentral:piRNA from 1 species